UUGAGUGGGGGAUAACCCGGGGAAACCCGGGCUAAUACCGCAUAAGCCCUGGAUCGUAAAGAGAGAGGGGAAAGCUUUAGGGUGCUGAAGGAGGAGCCCGCGUCCGAUUAGCUAGUUGGUGAGGUAAGGGCUCACCAAGGCGACGAUUGGUAGCCGGUCUGAGAGGACGGACGGCCACACUGGGACUGAGACACGGCCCAGACUCCUACGGGAGGCAGCAGUGGGGAAUUUUGGGCAAUGGGGGCAACCCUGACCCAGCAACGCCGCGUGGAGGACGAAGGUUUUCGGAUCGUAAACUCCUGUCCGGAGGGACGAAGCAAGUGACGGUACCUCUGGAGGAAGCCCCGGCUAACUCCGUGCCAGCAGCCGCGGUAAUACGGGGGGGGCAAGCGUUUUUCGGAAUUACUGGGCGUAAAGGGCGCGUAGGCGGCUUCGGAAGUCAUGGGUGAAAGCCCCGAGCUCAACUCGGGAACUGCCUGUGAAACCACGGGGCUGGAGUGCUGGAGAGGGAAGUGGAAUUCCCAGUGUAGCGGUGAAAUGCGUAGAUAUUGGGAGGAACAUCUGUGGCGAAGGCGGCUUCCUGGACAGACACUGACGCUGAGGCGCGAAAGCCAGGGGAGCGAACGGGAUUAGAUACCCCGGUAGUCCUGGCUGUAAACGAUGAACACUUGGUGUGGGGGGUAGGAAAGUCCCUCCGUGCCGGAGACAACUCAUUAAGUGUUCCGCCUGGGGAGUACGGCCGCAAGGCUGAAACUCAAAGGAAUUGACGGGGGCCCGCACAAGCGGUGGAGCAUGUGGUUUAAUUCGACGCAACGCGAAGAACCUUACCGGGGUUUGAACUGUUCGGGCGACCUGCAGAGAUGUAGGGUUCCUUUCGGGGACUCGAGCAGAGGUGUUGCAUGGCUGUCGUCAGCUCGUGUCGUGAGAUGUUGGGUUAAGUCCCGCAACGAGCGCAACCCUUGUCUGUAGUUGGCCAUCAGGUCAAGCUGGGCACUCUACGGAGACUGUCGGCGAAAAGCCGGAGGAAGGUGGGGAUGACGUCAAGUCCUCAUGGCCCUUAUGUCCCGGGCUACACACGUGCUACAAUGGGUGGUACAGAGGGCAGCGAACUCGUGAGAGUCAGCGAAUCCCAGAAAACCACCCUCAGUUCGGAUUGCAGUCUGCAACUCGACUGCAUGAAGUUGGAAUCGCUAGUAAUCGCGGAUCAGAACGCCGCGGUGAAUACGUUCCCGGGCCUUGUACACACCGCCCGUCACAUCACGAAAGUGGGCUGUACUAGAAGCCGCCGGCCUAACCCUUCGGGGAAGGAGGCGUCGACGGUAUGGCUCAUGAUUGGGGUGAAGUCGGAACAAGGUA
rnacentral:rRNA from 1 species